rnacentral:rRNA from 1 species
AUGAACCAAACGUCGAGUUAAGGGGCCUAAAUGAAUGCUCAUUCAGAUCCCAUCGAAAGGUGUUGGUUGCUAUAGACAGCAGGACGGUGGCCAUGGAAGUUGGAAUCCGCUAAGGAGUGUGUAACAACUCACCUGCCGAAGCAACUAGCCCUUAAAAUGGUAUGGCGCUCAAGCAUUCUCCCGAUACUCGACCGCCGGGGCACUACCGGUCCGCUUCUUCCGCCGCCACCUAUUCGGCGGCGGCGGUGGGUUACGGCGGGUCUCGAAGCCCCGGUGAGUAGGAGGGUCGCGGUGGUGUGCGCUGAAGGGUUCGGCGUGAGCCGGCCUGGAGCCUCCACUGGUGCAGAUCUUGGUGGUAGUAGCAAAUAGUCGAGAGAGAGUCCCUUGAAGGCCGAAGUGGAGAAGGGUUCCA